UACGGAGGGUGCGAGCGUUGUCCGGAAUCACUGGGCGUAAGGGGUGCGUAGGCGGGGCUUUAAGUCAGGGGUGAAAUCCUGGAGCUCAACUCCAGAACUGCCUUUGAUACUGAGGAUCUUGAGUUCGGGAGAGGUGAGUGGAACUGCGGGUGUAGAGGUGAAAUUCGUAGAUAUUCGGAAGAACACCAGUGGCGAAGGCGACUCACUGGCCCGUUACUGACGCUGAGGCGCGAAAGCGUGGGGAGCAAACAGG
rnacentral:rRNA from 1 species